GACGAACGCUGGCGGCGUGCUUAACACAUGCAAGUCGAACGAUGAAGCUAGAGCUUGCUCUGGUGGAUUAGUGGCGAACGGGUGAGUAACACGUGAGUAACCUGCCCCUGACUCUGGGAUAAGCGCUGGAAACGGCGUCUAAUACCGGAUACGAGCUGCGAAGGCAUCUUCAGCAGCUGGAAAGAACUUCGGUCAGGGAUGAGCUCGCGGCCUAUCAGCUAGUUGGUGAGGUAACGGCUCACCAAGGCGUCGACGGGUAGCCGGCCUGAGAGGGUGACCGGCCACACUGGGACUGAGACACGGCCCAGACUCCUACGGGAGGCAGCAGUGGGGAAUAUUGCACAAUGGGCGAAAGCCUGAUGCAGCAACGCCGCGUGAGGGACGACGGCCUUCGGGUUGUAAACCUCUUUUAGCAGGGAAGAAGCGAAAGUGACGGUACCUGCAGGAAAAGCGCCGGCUAACUACGUGCCAGCAGCCGCAGUAA
rnacentral:rRNA from 1 species